GAUGAACGCUGGCGGCGUGCCUAAUACAUGCAAGUCGAGCGAACGGACGAGAAGCUUGCUUUUCUGAUGUUAGCGGCGGACGGGUGAGUAACACGUGGAUAACCUACCUAUAAGACUGGGAUAACUUCGGGAAACCGGAGCUAAUACCGGAUAAUAUUUUGAACCGCAUGGUUCAAAAGUGAAAAACGGUCUUGCUGUCACUUAUAGAUGGAUCCGCGCUGCAUUAGCUAGUUGGUAAGGUAACGGCUUACCAAGGCAACGAUGCAUAGCCGACCUGAGAGAGUGAUCGGCCACACUGGAACUGAGACACGGUCCAGACUCCUACGGGAGGCAGCAGUAGGGAAUCUUCCGCAAAGGGCGAAAGCCUGACGGAGCAACGCCGCGUGAGUGAUGAAGGUCUUCGGAUCGUAAAACUCUGUUAUUAGGGAAGAACAUAUGUGUAAGUAACUGUGCACAUCUUGACGGUACCUAAUCAGAAAGCCACGGCUAACUACGUG
rnacentral:rRNA from 1 species